rnacentral:rRNA from 1 species
GUGGGGAAUAUUGGACAAUGGGCGCAAGCCUGAUCCAGCCAUGCCGCGUGAGUGAUGAAGGCCCUAGGGUUGUAAAGCUCUUUCACCGGUGAAGAUAAUGACGGUAACCGGAGAAGAAGCCCCGGCUAACUUCGUGCCAGCAGCCGCGGUAAUACGAAGGGGGCUAGCGUUGUUCGGAAUUACUGGGCGUAAAGCGCACGUAGGCGGGUAUUUAAGUCAGGGGUGAAAUCCCGGAGCUCAACUCCGGAACUGCCUUUGAUACUGGGUACCUAGAGUAUGGAAGAGGUAAGUGGAAUUCCGAGUGUAGAGGUGAAAUUCGUAGAUAUUCGGAGGAACACCAGUGGCGAAGGCGGCUUACUGGUCCAUUACUGACGCUGAGGUGCGAAAGCGUGGGGAGCAAACAGGAUUAGAUACCCCUGUAGUCC